rnacentral:rRNA from 1 species
GACGAACGCUGGCGGCGUGCUUAACACAUGCAAGUCGAACGGAAAGGCCCUGCUUUUGCGGGUUUCUCGAGUGGCGAACGGGUGAGUAACACGUGAGUAACCUGCCCUUGACUUUGGGAUAACUUCAGGAAACUGGGGCUAAUACCCCAUAGGAUCUCCUGCUGCAUGGUGGGGGUUGGAAAGUUUCGGCGGUUGUGGAUGGACUCGCGGCUUAUCAGCUUGUUGGUGUGGUAGUGGCUUAGCAAGGAUUUGACGGGUAGCCGGCCUGAGAGGGUGACCGGCCACAUUGGGAUUGGGAUACGGCCCAGACUCAUACGGGCGGAAGGAGUGGGGAACAUAGGAAAAUGGGCGGCGGGAGGAUGGAGCAACGCCGGGUGCGGGAUGACGGCCUUCGGGUGGGAAACAGCGUUCGAGUGUGACGAAGCGUGAGUGACGGUAAUGGGUAAAGAAGCACCGGCUAACUACGU